CAAGGCAACCAAAUCGGCCGCAGCUGAGAGAUGGUAGAGCUCUCUUGUGUCGCCAAUAACAAGAGCGCUGAGGCUGCCAGUUCCUCUCUUCUACUGAGGUGUGAUGGUGUGAAAGUUUUUUUGUUAUAGAACAGACUUCUGCUGGAGAGACUUUCUAAUGUGACGGCUCAGUGAAUGGCAUUUUGCAUUCUGAAUCAGCCAUCAUCAACGUUCUAUGCCGUUUUAAUGAAAAUUCAGCUGCCUGGCCCUCUGGUGACCAGUUCAUUUGACUGCCCUCAUCCUCAUUACCUCCUAACAAGGCCUCUGGGAGCAUCUAAGUGUGAGCAGAAUGGUUGGAGUUGGUGAAGCAGUGGAAAUUUUAGCAGUAGCUAUCAUUUUCAUUUUCCAGCUCUUCCGUGUCAACCACCUGUCAAAUUUAGAGACAACUUUUU